rnacentral:lncRNA from 1 species
UAGUCACAUAUAGUCAUAUACAUGUAGUCAUAUGUAGUUAUAUAUAGUUACAUAUGGUCAUAUACAUGUAGUCAUAUAUAGUCACGUGUAGUAAAAUAUAGUUAUAUAAAAGCUAUGCGUUUUUUCUGUGUACAUUGAUGUUGAUGAUUGUGAUUUUAUAUUUUUUUGUUGGGUACUAAUUGAUUUAUAAUAUUAAGAUUCAAA